rnacentral:rRNA from 1 species
GACGAACGCUGGCGGCGUGCUUAACACAUGCAAGUCGAACGGAAAGGCCCCUUCGGGGGUACUCGAGUGGCGAACGGGUGAGUAACACGUGAGUAACCUGCCCUUGACUUCGGGAUAACUUCAGGAAACUGGGGCUAAUACCGGAUAGGAAUCCUUGCUGCAUGGUGGGGGUUGGAAUGCUUCGGCGGUUUUGGAUGGACUCGCGGCUUAUCAGCUUGUUGGUGGGGUAGUGGCUUACCAAGGCUUUGACGGGUAGCCGGCCUGAGAGGGCGACCGGCCACAUUGGGACUGAGAUACGGCCCAGACUCCUACGGGAGGCAGCAGUGGGGAAUAUUGCACAAUGGGCGGAAGCCUGAUGCAGCAACGCCGCGUGCGGGAUGACGGCCUUCGGGUUGUAAACCGCUUUCAGCAGGGGCGAAGCUUGUGGUGACGGUACCUGCAGAAGAAGCACCGGCUAACUACGUG